CCUACGGGCGGCUGCAGUGGGGAAUAUUGCACAAUGGGGGAAACCCUGAUGCAGCGACGCCGCGUGAGUGAAGAAGUAAUUCGUUACGUAAAGCUCUAUCAGCAGGGAAGAAACACUGACCUUACGGUCAGCAGACGGUACCUGAGUAAGAAGCACCGGCUAACUACGUGCCAGCAGCCGCGGUAAUACGUAGGGGGCAAGCGUUAUCCGGCUUUACUGGGUGUAAAGGGAGCGUAGACGGUGCGCCAAGUCUGGAGUGAAAUGCCGGAGCUUAACUGCGGAACUGCUUUGGAAACUGGCGAACUAGAGUGCGGGAGGAGUAAGCGGAAUUCCUAGUGAAGCGGUGAAAUGCGUAGAUAUUAGGAGGAACACCGGUGGCGAAGGCGGCUUACUGGACCGUAACUGACGUUGAGGCUCGAAAGCGUGGGGAGCAAACAGGAUUAGAUACCCCUGUAGUC
rnacentral:rRNA from 1 species